CCACUUACCUGGUCGGGGUCUAUGGGUGAUUAAGAAGACCCAUGGCCUAAACUAGUGUCCUCCAUUGCACUUUGGAGGAGCAUCGGUUUACCAUCUCCCUUUGUGGGAGAGUUUGACGGUGUCC
rfam:Triticum urartu cultivar G1812 contig31791, whole genome shotgun sequence.